rnacentral:rRNA from 1 species
GACGAACGCUGGCGGCGUGCCUAAUACAUGCAAGUUGAGCGCUGAAGGUUGGUGCUUGUACCAACUGGAUGAGCAGCGAACGGGUGAGUAACGCGUGGGGAAUCUGCCUUUGAGCGGGGGACAACAUUUGGAAACGAAUGCUAAUACCGCAUAAAAACUUUAAACACAAGUUUUAAGUUUGAAAGAUGCAAUUGCAUCACUCAAAGAUGAUCCCGCGUUGUAUUAGCUAGUUGGUGAGGUAAAGGCUCACCAAGGCGAUGAUACAUAGCCGACCUGAGAGGGUGAUCGGCCACAUUGGGACUGAGACACGGCCCAAACUCCUACGGGAGGCAGCAGUAGGGAAUCUUCAGCAAUGGACGAAAGUCUGACCGAGCAACGCCGCGUGAGUGAAGAAGGUUUUCGGAUCGUAAAACUCUGUUGGUAGAGAAGAACGUUGGUGAGAGUGGAAAGCUCAUCAAGUGACGGUAACUACCCAGAAAGGGACGGCUAACUACGUG